AGUGAAACAAUAUAGCAGCCUGGCGCGUCCUAUCCCCCUCUCCCUUAUCCUCUCGUACAAAAAUGUACUCGAAUGUCCCAGGUGUCGAAAUCUCCUUUCUCCUCGUCCUUCUCCUCAAAUCGGACGUCCCAAUUUUUUUUUCCGGUUGAACAAUUGUACAAGCUCAUACUAUUCAGCCUCAACAUUAUCUCUUUGGGUUUUUUCAAUUUCGAAAUGGGACAUGGAAUCUCAAUUUUACCCCAGCCUUUUUUGAGAUUUCCUCCGCUCUCCACCAGUCGAAAAAAACCUAAUCCAUUCCUAUAUAUAUAUUGCUUUUCGCUCACUGUUGAGGGGGAGAUUUUCUUUUUCUUUGAUUUUUUGGGGUCAGAUUCUUGUUUUGGCUGGAAAAAACUCUCUCUGCGAGAAAAAUACUCACAACAUUUUAAAAAAAUAUAGACAAGAAUGUAUCUAUAAAGCUUUCCUAGUUCAGUUCGAGGGUUGGAUUUUGGCUUUGCGAAUUUCCGUCCGUUUGUUUGUAUUCUGAGUCUCGUAGUGAAGUCACUUCUUUCCCUGCUCGUGUUUGUUCCGGAAUCGCUGCGCUUAAAAAGGUAAACACCACUCCCGCUCGUAUCACUUAUUUCUUAAGGUGUUGGUCGUCUCUUGCUUAGAGGUUAUAAGUUGUGCAAAAUGCUAAAAGUUGGAAGGAAAUUUUGAUCUGCUUUUACUCUGUCAUUGGUGUUUUUCCUUUGUUUUGGGGUUAUAUUUUCUACUUAUUUUCGUACAGAUAGAAGUCUUGUUGACUUCGUCAAGCUCUGAACUGCUCCUCUUGUUCUUUCUUUUGUCUGAUUGCUAGUCCUUUGAACCUAUUUGUGACUCUCUAUUUAGUUUUGAAGUUUGGGUACGAUCUAUCCAUUUACUUAGCCUAAUAUGUAGGAAUCUCUGUUUUUCUUAGUCGGUAUUUGUCAAUCGAGUAUUUUAUAAGACCUGUCUUCUUUACAUCAUAGAUCGAAUGUCAUUAUCACCCCAUUAAUUAUUUGUUCUUCGACAGUUUUCUUAUGUUUAAGAUGUUGUAGCUUCACUAGAUGGAUUGGAUUAAAUACCGUUAGAUUUUACUAUCUUAUUUUUUUUUACUUUGUAUGUAGAUCGUUUAGUUGCCAUGUUCAUAGCAUCUACCUUGACAUUUCUUAAGCCCUUCUGUUGGUCAUUAAUUGUGUGCAUCCAUGUAUAUGAUAUAUUUGGCAGUGUAUGCAUUUUCUCCGCAUGCUACUGCAAAGUUCCUUUUCUUGUUUUCUUUAAGGUUUUGUUGGUGCUAUUUUUGUUUUACUUGGUUUGCAUUCUUGUCUAUUGGUAUCCCCUUUAGUAGAUUUUUUUUAGUAAAAUUUGCUUUCGUUCUAUAUUAUCUCAUAUGCUAACCCAUCUAUUUUAUUGCAUGUAAAAAUUCCUUUCGGGUCUUUAUGGACUUUACUUCAUCCGUUUGCAUCCUCUCGUCGAGCCGUAAAAGAUCACACUACCAUAUCCGAGCCGUCCAUCACCCUCUAAACUGGUGUACAGGUCGAAAACAGCAAAUAAAUCACUGGAAAUUAAAUUACAGGUCUCCAGAAGCUUAGAAACGGGCUGUUAUACCCGUUUUAUACACCAAUAUACAGGUCAAAACAUGCAUAGGGGGGCUAAAUUCAAAAUGAAGGUUGAGAGAAGUAAAAAUAUACUGCUGAAAAAUAUUUGUCAGCCCCCAAAAGUCGAAGAACAGGUCGAUACACUAGUUGUAUACACCAAUAUACACGAUUUAUACAGCGAUAUAUAGUAAUAAAUAUAGUAUACAGGUCCAAAUAUUUGGAAGUGCAGAUUGGGAAAUACAGCACAUAAAAUUAGAUACGGUAAAGGUUCAGGAAGUUUCAAAACAUGCCGAAUAUGCAUUUUAUACAGCAGUAUACAUUAAGUGUAUACCAAAUUUAAUGAGAAAUGGGGCCAAAGCUCAUCUGGGUCCCCUUGCGGAAUUCUGUGCAAAAGGGUCACGGCCCAAAAGUGAAAGCAGAAAGAAAAAAGUAUAAAUUAUAGGAACCACUUAUUAUAAAUACAAAACAACCUUUUAUCCCUUUUAGAAUUGAAAUUACGAAAAAUCCUUAAAACUCAAGUUACCGGGAUACAUCCAGAGAGCACGGGAUACAUAACUUGUGAUACAUCGUAGUUGACAUCUGUUGCGGUUAAUUAGGAAGAUUUAACGUGAUUUUUGUUAUUAUUAAUUGAAAUCACGUAAUUAAUACUCUACAGCUUGCGUAACUGAUUAGUAAUUCAAAUUUUAAAUCAGAGUAGCUUCCUAAAUCAAAAUUAUUCCUGUAAAAGUUGAUCUGCAUUCUAAGAAAUAAAAAAAACAGGUCUGAAGAUGAAUAUCUCAAUUCUGCUGCUGCAUUCUGGAAUUUGGGUAAGCGAUGUUAAUUAUGAAGGUUACAAAGUUGAUGGAAUUGUUGUUGGCCAUUCCAUUUCAUUUGUGAAUCUGAAAACGUUGAUUUUAUCAGAGCUUGAGAUCGACACUGUUACAAAGGAUAUUGAAAUCCGAUACAUUGUUGAGGGAAGCUCAUGUCCAUUGAAAAUGAAGAACGACAUGGGUGUGAAACUUUAUUUUGAAGUUAAAAAGAAUGCAUCUGGAAUCGACAUGUAUCCACUUUGUAUUGAUACAACUGAUAAAAUUGUUGGGGAGAUACGUAAUUUUGAUUGUUCAUCAGGUGAAGUCGUAUGCGUGGAAGGUACCGAACGAGAUACUGAAGCUCUUGCUCUGGUUGAGUCGAGAAUUUGUGACGUUGAUUAUAUUCCAGAAUUAAAUGCUACGAAUUACAUAACUGAUUCCAAUAGUACUGAAGUGAAGACUGGCAGUUGUAUAAGGACAAAGGAACACUCGUUGCUGUAAUGGCUAAAUAUAAAAUAAAGAACAACUUCAAUUUUCGAGUGAAAAGAUCGGAUAAGAAAAGGUAUUUGAAUGCUUUCUCUAUGAUUUGAUUGUUUUUCUCUAGUACAUUUUUAUUUAUAUUGUAUCUGAUACAUAAGUAUAAGUAGUAUAUAUUUUAUUGUGAUAAUUAUAACAUUGCUUUUCUUAUAUGAAUUAAACCAAUAAAAAAAUUUGGACAACUAUGUGUUGGUUUGCUUCAGCGACCAAUGUGGAUGGACCUUAAAAUCAUCUUGCAGACAAAAAUCUGAUGUAUUCAAAAUGAGAUUUUCAAUAGUGAACAUACAUGUCCGAUGAGGGAUAGGAUACUAACAAAAGUACAAGCAACAAUUGGAUUUAUUAGUGGUGUGACUGCCCUUAAUUUAGUAAAUCAUAAACGAAUCCAUACACCUCGAGAUGUAAUUGAAGAUAUUAGAGAAUUGUAUGGGGUUGAGAUACCGUACCAACAAGCAUGACGUGCUAGAGAACGUGCACUAGAAAUGCUCAAGGGUAAGCCAUCAGAAGGAUAUAAACAGAUGCCGAGAUACAUAUGGAUGCUAAAUAAAGUGUAUCCAAAUUCAUAUAUAAGGAUGCAAAAUACGGAAGAUAAUAAAUUCAUGUAUCUGUUCAUAGCCCUAAGACCGUUGAUAAGAGGGUUCCACUACUGCAGGCCUGUAGUUGUAGUGGACGCUGCACAUCUUGGCGGGGCUUACAAGAGUACUUUUGUAUCAGCAAGCACACUCAAUGGUGCAGGAUGCAUAUUGCCAUUGGCAUAUGGUGUUGUAGACACUGAAAAUGACUGUUCAUGGACACGGUUCUUCGAACAGUUCAAAAAAUGCAUUUGGUGAGCGUGAAAACAUGUGUAUUGUAUCAGAUAGAAAUGAAAGUAUCAUAAAGAGUGUAAGCAUUGUGUACCCAAAUGUACCUCAUUGUGCAUGCAUAUGGCAUCUUUGGAAGAAUGUAUGUUCAAGCUUCAAAAGGAGUAAAAACACACUAAGUGAUAUAUUUUACUCAAUGGCAAAAGCAUACAGAAAGGAAGAUUUUGAUAAAUUUAUGGCUAAGGUUGUGAAUGUUGAUCACAGUGUAAAGGAUUACCUUGAAGAUGUUGGUUAUGAGAAGUGGUCAAGAGUUCAUUCAACCAUAAACAGAGGUAGAAUGAUGACUUCGAACAUCGCUGAGUGUAUCAAUGGAUGCCUUGUCGAUGCACGUAAGUUAACUAUAAUAGACUUCUAGGAGGAAGCUAGACUUCUAUUUGGUAGUUGGAACUAUAAAAAUAGAGAAAUAGCGUCAUAUACAAAGGACACAUUGGGCCGAAGAUUUGAGGAGAUAUUAAUUGUAAACGCAUCUAAAAGUUCAAAGAUGGAGGUAUUUAUCCAUUUCCCUGAACUUCUGUUUUAUGUAUCAGAAACAAACUGAUUUUCAAUGGUAACUGUUGUUUUGAAAAUGAUAUAUAAAUUGUAUACUACGUAAUGUAUCACUAACUUCUUAAAUUUUUAGGUUGUUCCAUCAUCUAAAUAUAUUUUCACAGUUCAUGAAGCCGGAAAAAGAUACAUUGUAUGCCUUGAGAGGAAAACUUGCACAUGUGGGAGGUUUCAACAUGAUGAGAUACCUUGAACACACGCAAUUGCAGUUUUGAAGCACAAGAAUGUUAUAAAUUUGCACCCAUAUUGCUCUGAUUACUACAAGCCGUAUGCAUUAGAAAAAACGUACGAGGUUGUAAUGGUUCCAAUGCCAGAUAAGGAGGAUUGGAACGUUCCAGAAUAUGUUUUAGAUGAAAUUGUUCGGCCACCUAGGUAUAGAAGGUUGGUUGGACGACCAAGAAAGCGAAGAAAGAAAAAUGCGGAUGAGAAAAUAACAGUGAACAAUAAUUCUUGUGGGCAGUGUGAACAAGAAGGACAUAACAGGAGAACUUGUACUUUCUUCCCGAAAGAGAAUUGAAAUAAUGUUUUAAAGUAGGACAUUAGUGUUCAUGGUACUUAUAUCUAUUUUUUUCUUUAGAAUUUGGACUAAAUAAAGUGUAUUGGUUACACAACUUAAUUUGAUGUUCAAAUAUAUGACUUUGCUGGAAA